rnacentral:rRNA from 1 species
AUUGAACGCUGGCGGCAGGCCUAACACAUGCAAGUCGAACGAGUGGCGGACGGGUGAGUAAUGUUUGGGAAACUAGCUGAUGGAGGGGGAUAACUACGGGAAACUGUAGCUAAUACCGCGUACCAUAGGAUGAGCCCAGGUGGGAUUAGCUAGUUGGUGGGGUAAAGGCUCACCAAGCCGACGAUCCCUAGCUGGUCUGAGAGGAUGACCAGCCACACUGGAACUGGGACACGGUCCAGACUCCUACGGGAGGCAGCAGUGGGGAAUAUUGCGCAAUGGGCGCAAGCCUGACGCAGCCAUGCCGCGGGAAUGAAGAAGGCCUUCGGGUUGUAAAGUUCUUUCAGCAGGGAGGCGUUACCCGCAGAAGAAGCACCGGCUAACUCCGUGCCAGCAGCCGCGGUAAUUC